GGUUGAUCCUGCCAGACCUGACUGCUAUCGGAUUGGUACUAAGCCAUGUGAGUCGUUGUAGCAAUACAAGGCAUACGGCUCAGUAACACGUAGUCAAUCUAACCUAUGGACGGGGAUAACCUCGGGAAACUGAGGAUAAACCCCGAUAGAUCAUAAUGCCUGGAACGGUUUAUGGUUCAAAUGAUUCGUCGCCGUAGGGUGGGACUGCGGCCUAUCAGCUUGUUGGUGAGGUAAUGGCCCACCAAGGCUAUUACAGGUACGGGCUCUGAGAGGAGUAGCCCGGAGAUGGGUACUGAGACACGGACCCAGGCCCUAUGGGGCGCAGCAGGCGAGAAACCUUUGCAAUGUGCGCAAGCACGACAAGGUUAAUCCGAGUGUUUCCUGUUAAAGGAAUCUUUUGUUAGUCGUAAAAUCACUAUUGAAUAAGGGGUGGGCAAGUUCUGGUGUCAGCCGCCGCGGUAAAACCAGCACCUCAAGUGGUCAGGAUGAUUAUUGGGCCUAAAGCAUCCGUAGCCUGUUCUGAAAGUUUCUGGUUAAAUCCAUUAACUCAACUAAUGGGCUGCCGAAAAUACUGCAGAACUAGGGAGUGGGAGAGGUAGACGGUACUCGGUAGGAAGGGGUAAAAUCCUUUGAUCUAUUGAUGACCACCUGUGGCGAAGGCGGUCUACCAGAACACGUUCGACGGUGAGGGAUGAAAGCUGGGGGAGCAAACCGGAUUAGAUACCCGGGUAGUCCCAGCUGUAAACGAUGCAAACUCGGUGAUGCGCUGGCUUGUGGCCAGUGCAGUGCCGCAGGGAAGCCGUUAAGUUUGCCGCCUGGGAAGUACGUACGCAAGUAUGAAACUUAAAGGAAUUGGCGGGGGAGCACCACAAGGGGUGAAGCCUGCGGUUCAAUUGGAGUCAACGCCGGAAAUC
rnacentral:rRNA from 1 species